ensembl:snRNA U6 U6 spliceosomal RNA
UUGAUUUGGCAGCACAUGUACUAAAAUAGGAACAAUACAGAGAAGAUUAGCAUGGCCCCUGCACAAGGACAACACAAACAUUCGUGGAGUUCCACAUUAAA